rnacentral:rRNA from 1 species
CAGUAGCCGCGGGAAUACGUAGGUGGCAAGCGUUGUCCGGAAUUAUUGGGCGUAAAGCGCGCACAGGCGGAUCAGUUAGUCUGUCUUAAAAGUUCGGGGCUUAACCCCGUGAUGGGAUGGAAACUGCCAAUCUAGAGUAUCGGAGAGGAAAGUGGAAUUCCUAGUGUAGCGGUGAAAUGCGUAGAUAUUAGGAAGAACACCAGUGGCGAAGGCGACUUUCUGGACGAAAACUGACGCUGAGGCGCGAAAGCCAGGGGAGCGAACGGGAUUAGAGACCCCUGUAGUCCCUGUCUCUUAUACA